AACCUUAUGGACCUGCGGGCGUAUACCUGCGGAGGGAUCAUCAUCGAAUUCAUAUCCCUCCACUUCCGGAGGGGGACCCAUGAUAAACCCUUCUGUGCAUCGUAAACCGUUCACUUUGGCUGGUUUUGGUGGUGAGCGUGAGCUCGUCUCCAACCUCGCGUUCUCUCCCCUAAGGGGGGUUACGCGUGGCGGCCUGCCGAAGUCCUCCCAUUAAAAACACGUUUUCGAACACGUCUGAAA
rnacentral:misc_RNA from 1 species